rnacentral:rRNA from 1 species
AUUGAACGCUGGCGGCAGGCCUAACACAUGCAAGUCGAGCGGAUGAAGGGAGCUUGCUCCUGGAUUCAGCGGCGGACGGGUGAGUAAUGCCUAGGAAUCUGCCUGGUAGUGGGGGAUAACGUCCGGAAACGGGCGCUAAUACCGCAUACGUCCUGAGGGAGAAAGUGGGGGAUCUUCGGACCUCACGCUAUCAGAUGAGCCUAGGUCGGAUUAGCUAGUUGGGGGGGUAAAGGCCUACCAAGGCGACGAUCCGUAACUGGUCUGAGAGGAUGAUCAGUCACACUGGAACGGAGACACGGUCCGGACUCCUACGGGAGGCAGCAGUGGGGAAUAUUGGACAAUGGGCGAAGUCCUGAUCCAGCCAGGCCGCGUGUGUGAAGAAGGUCUUCGGAUUUUAAAGCACUUUAAGUUGGGAGGAAGAGCAGUAAGGUAAUACCUUGCUGUUGUGACGUUACCAACAGAAUAAGCACCGGCUAACUUCGUG